rnacentral:rRNA from 1 species
AACGAACGUUAGCGGCGCGCUUAACACAUGCAAGUCGAGCGAGAAAGGGGCAACCCCGGUAAAGCGGCGCACGGGUGAGUAACACGUAGGUAAUCUACCUCCAGGUGGUGGAUAACCUUCCGAAAGGAGGGCUAAUACAGCAUGAGACCACGGUUCCGAAAGGGACAGGGGUCAAAGUCGGCCUCUUCAUGAAAGCUGACGCCAGGAGAUGAGCCUGCGGCCCAUCACGGUAGUUGGUAGGGUAAUGGCCUACCAAGCCAAAGACGGGUAGCUGGUCUGAGAGGAUGAUCAGCCACACUGGAACUGAGACACGGUCCAGACUCCUACGGGAGGCAGCAGUGGGGAAUCUUGCGCAAUGGGCGAAAGCCUGACGCAGCGACGCCGC